rnacentral:rRNA from 1 species
UGUGAGCGGCACACUGCUCAGUAACACGUAGCUAACCUACCCUUAGGACGUGGACAACCCCGAGAAAUUGGGGCUAAUCCGCGAUAGAUGUAUUGUCCUGGAAUGGUAUUACGUCUAAAGGUAUCCCAUACAUGUUUGGUAUAUGCCUAAGGAUGGGGCUGCGGCCGAUCAGGCUGUUGGUGAGGUAAUGGCUCACCAAACCUUUGACCGGUACGGGCCAUGAGAGUGGUAGCCCGGAGAUGGACACUGAGACAAGGGUCCAGGCCCUACGGGGCGCAGCAGGCACGAAACCUCCUCAAUGCACUUACGUGCGAAAAAACUACCUCGAGUGCCACCUGAUAAAAAUGGCUUUUCCUAAAUCUAAAAAGCCUUAAAAAUAAAAGGGAGGCAAGACUGGUGUCAACCACCACGGUAACACCAGCCCCUCGAGUAGUGGGGAUGAUUAUUGGGCCUAAAGCGUCCGUAGCCUGCCGUGUAAGUUUCCCGUUAAAUCCAGCGUCUUAAGCGUUGGACCGCGGGAAAUACUGUACGGCUAGAGAGUGGGAGAGGUCAGCGGUAUUCUGGGGGUAGGGGCGAAAUCCUUUGAUCCCCGGAGGACCACCAGUGGCGAAGGCUGCUGUCUAGAACACGUCUGACGGUCAGGGACGAAAGCUGGGGUAGCGAACCGGAUUAGAUACCCGGGUAGUCCCAGCCGUAAACGAUGCAUGCUAGGUGUUGGGUUGGCCACGAGCCACCCCAGUGCCGCAGGGAAGCCGUUAAGCAUGCCGCCUGGGAAGUACGAUCGCAAGGUUGAAACUUAAAGGAAUUGGCGGGGGAGCACCACCAGGCGUGAAGCC